AGUAUGGGGAUUGUGUGGGGAGUGAGGCAUUAGCUGCUUGGGCCCUUAGUCCAGCCUUGUUGGUGGCUGCUGCAGUUCUUUGGCUCACUCACUCUGUUCUUCGUGCCUCAGUUUCCCUUUGCAUAAUGAGAUACGGUGGCAGAGAAGAACGCCAGUGCCACAUCCAUGACUGAUAGCUUGAGGACGGAGAUGAACUGGAGGGUAGAAAAAGAGGAUGCCUGAGAAAUUUAUACCUACCAGGUCACAUCUUCGAAUCCCAGGAAGUUAUCCCUGGAUUCAUUUCUGCCUUUGAUUGGUCUCACGUGUGAAACAUGGCUACAGAUUGGCUGGGAAGUAUUGUGUCCAUCAAUUGUGGAGAUAGCUUGGGUGUCUAUCAGGGAAGAGUGUCAGCUGUGGAUCAGGUCAGCCAGACCAUUUCUCUCACCCGGCCUUUCCAUAAUGGAGUGAAGUGUCUUGUUCCAGAAGUCACCUUCAGGGCAGGUGACAUUACGGAGUUAAAAAUUCUGGAGAUACCAGGACCUGGAGACAACCAACAUUUUGGAGACCUUCAUCAAACAGAAUUAGGCCCCUCUGGUGCUGGCUGCCAAG
rnacentral:lncRNA from 1 species